GACUGGAAUAGCUCAGUCAGCAGAGCAUGAGACUCUUAAUCUAAAUCAUGGGUUCGAGCCCCACAUUGGACA